UCGGGAUAACAAGGUGAUUCUUUAAUUAGUGAUUGCUUAUAAUUUCUUACAAAAGUAAAUAUUUGUGGGGUGUGCAAAAAGAAAUGUAAAAAACCAUUUAAGAGGAAAACAGUUACAUCAUAUUUGAAGGAAUCAUGCACCAGAAAGUACAUGCAAGUAACCCGAAUUUUGUAUUAUGAGUGUAGUAUAUUUUAUACUAUAAUAAUCCUGAGGGUUCCUGGGCAUAGUCUGAAAAGAGCGUUUCGGCCAAAUCACAAUACGUUUGCAACCAUGAUUUGACAUCAUAUAUUGUUAUGUAUGAUCAAAUGAAGAAGUGCUUUGUGAAAGGAGUUUUUUCAGUACUUAACUACAAUGAGUUGUAUCUACCAAUAACUCUAACUUGCUAUGAUGAUCCAAUGAAUUAAACAUAUUGCAUAGCUAUUGAAAGUUUAUUCCUGGUCUUGCCCUGGGAAUGACGAUGAUUUGUAUGGCAAAAGAUGGUGCAAUUUUGGAAAUACCACUUGGAAAUAUUAAAUGUGAUUACUGUGCAACCAAUUAUUCUGAGAAUCGUUUACAGGCAAAUAGUUAAAGGAAAGAUUUCCAAAGUUUAUCAUCACUUUAGGGGACUUUCAUUGCAAGAAAUGUGAAAAUGAAUUGCCACAGCAUUCGUUUCACCAGAUCUUUCUUUUUCUUAUGAAAUGGCUUGGUUGUGCUGAGUUUUACGAAAACAGCGAUACCAGAAUACUCUUGAUGGCCAUUAAAAGUAAAAAAAAUUUGAAAGAUGUUGGCGAACGAAAUGAAUCCUUAAAUAAGGUUGUACUCAAAGAUGUGUUUAAAGCGACGACUAAAGAAGAUGGUUAUGCGAUACUCAGAGUCACAAUUGUUGUGCCGUUUGUGAAGGGAAGCGAAAAACCUUAUAUCCAUAAGAAAGCGAAACUAAACGCAAUAUUGGCAUGCACCCUAUGUUAAAGGGUAUAAAACGAUUUUUUGAGUGACGCUGCUGUGCUUUGAAAGUCGCUAUUAACCAUACGCGAUUGCGAUUCCGCAAAAAAAAAAAGUCAAAAAUACAAACUUGAAUCCCAUGCCGCGUUUCCGAAACAUGUUGAAGAAAAUAAUAAUCCGAAACACAACACGGCAUUAAAUCUAAAAAUGGAGAUAUGUGAAUUUAAUGAUCAUGCUAAUAAAAUAAAUACUAAAUAUAAAAAA